rnacentral:rRNA from 1 species
AAAUUUGUUUAAAAUUCAAAGAACCUGGCGGUACUUUAGUCUAGUUAGAGGAACCUGUUGUAUAAACGAUAAACCACGUAAGAUCUUUCUCACUCUCGUAAAGCCAGUAUACCUUCAUUGUUAGAUAAUCUUUUCUUACAUGGAUUAUUGGAAUUGGGUUACCAAGUAUAUUAGAUCAAGGUGCUGCUGAUGAGUGAGUACAAAUGGGUUACAGUAUUUUUGGAGAGGCGGAUAAUAUCAAGAAUUUGAUAUUUGAAGAUGGAUUUAAUUGUAAGUUUUGGUUUCAGUAAGGCAAAAUGAUAGUAGCUCUAAAGUGUGUACAUAUUGCCCGUCGCUUUCAUUAAGUCAGAUGAGAUAA